UGGGGUGGCUGAAUUAGAGAUCGGCACCCUUUCUUUCUUUUUAAUUCUGGAGUUCAAAAUGUCUCUAAGCGUUGAAGCUAAAGCUCAAAUCGUUUCCGAGUUCGGUCGUGGUGCA
rfam:Yokenella regensburgei ATCC 43003 genomic scaffold Scfld129, whole genome shotgun sequence.